rnacentral:rRNA from 1 species
UACGAGGGGUGCAAGCGUUGCUCGGAAUUAUUGGGCGUAAAGGGCGCGUAGGCGGCUUUACAAGUCAAAGGUGAAAUCCCUCGGCUCAACUGAGGAACUGCCUUUGAAACUGUGAGGCUUGAGGCCGGGAGGGGGUAGCGGAAUUCCCAGUGUAGCGGUGAAAUGCGUAGAUACUGGGAGGAACACCAGUGGCGAAGGCGGCUACCUGGACCGGAACUGACGCUGAGGCGCGAAAGCGUGGGUAGCAAACAGG